rnacentral:lncRNA from 1 species
ACCGCCAUCACCACCUUCCCAGACCGGUUCCCACCAUUGGCAGGUCAUAGAGACGGGGAAGGCACCGCCACCCAGACCCCUGCAACGGCAGGACUCCGGGUGUUCGAGUCCUUGUCAAACACCAACGCCUAGCGAAGCCUUAUCUCCAAUAGAAAAAACAGAGAAGAAGAAACAGAGGGGAGGAGAAAGCAGAAGGAGGAACCCCAGUUCCCCAGCAACGAGCGUCACCAACCUCGUCUCCAAGCGCAGCAGCAGGUAAGCCAUCUUCUCC